rnacentral:lncRNA from 1 species
AACUUAGGUGGUUGAUUUGAAACUGUGAAGGUGUGAUUUUUUCAGGAGCUGGAAGUCUUAGAAAAGCCUUGUAAAUGCCUAUAUUGUGGGCUUUUAACGUAUUUAAGGGACCACUUAAGACGAGAUUAGAUGGGCUCUUCUGGAUUUGUUCCUCAUUUGUCACAGGUGUCUUGUGAUUGAAAAUCAUGAGCGAAGUGAAAUUGCAUUGAAUUUCAAGGGAAUUUAGUAUGUAAAUCGUGCCUUAGAAACACAUCUGUUGUCUUUUCUGUGUUUGGUCGAUAUUAAUAAUGGCAAAAUUUUUGCCUAUCUAGUAUCUUCAAAUUGUAGUCUUUGUAACAACCAAAUAACCUUUUGUGGUCACUGUAAAAUUAAUAUUUGGUAGACAGAAUCCAUGUACCUUUGCUAAGGUUAGAAUGAAUAAUUUAUUGUAUUUUUAAUUUGAAUGUUUGUGCUUUUUAAAUGAGCCAAGACUAGAGGGGAAACUAUCACCUAAAAUCAGUUUGGAAAACAAGACCUAAAAAGGGAAGGGGAUGGGGAUUGUGGGGAGAGAGUGGGCGAGGUGCCUUUACUACAUGUGUGAUCUGAAAACCCUGCUUGGUUCUGAGCUGCGUCUAUUGAAUUGGUAAAGUAAUACCAAUGGCUUUUUAUCAUUUCCUUCUUCCCUUUAAGUUUCACUUGAAAUUUUAAAAAUCAUGGUUAUUUUUAUCGUUGGGAUCUUUCUGUCUUCUGGGUUCCAUUUUUUAAAUGUUUAAAAAUAUGUUGACAUGGUAGUUCAGUUCUUAACCAAUGACUUGGGGAUGAUGCAAACAAUUACUGUCGUUGGGAUUUAGAGUGUAUUAGUCACGCAUGUAUGGGGAAGUAGUCUCGGGUAUGCUGUUGUGAAAUUGAAACUGUAAAAGUAGAUGGUUGAAAG